AGAUGGUAUAAUUGCUACCAUACAAAUAAAAAGAGUUCACAAUGACAUUUAUUUAGCUGGUGGAUGGGAACAAUUCUUCGACCAUCACAAUUUACAAGAUGGUUAUGUUAUUGUGUUCGAAUAUAUUGGAAAUUCUACCUUCAAUGUUUCAAUAUUUGACGAUUCACAGCUAGAAGUAACUUAUGAUACAUACCACUCUGAUCCGAAGUUGUUGAAGAAGAGACACUCCAUACAGGAAAUCCUGUCUUUAGACUUACAUUCGACGUAAUGACAGUCGUAGAAUUGUAAGUUUCUUUUACUUAUGUUUCCACGAUUUUAAAUUCCCUUUUUCGCUCAUUUUUGUUUUAUUUUUAGUAUGUACCUUCAAGAUUCAGUGGAGAACAUCUACCCCAAUUUAUACAAAAUGUUCAAAUCCAUGACUCUUCGCAUUGCAACUGGAUUGUUUCUACGAGUUUGACAACAAAUGGUGACGUUCGAUGUUUCACUACAGGUUGGUCAAAAUAUGCAAGAGAGAAACAACUUCAAAUAGGUGACGUAUACGUGUUUGAGUGUCUGAGCCGCUAUAACAAACUCCCAAUGUUCAUAGUACACAAAGUAUGCGAUGAUGGAUCUAUUACUUCUCUAUAAAUUAAUUUACUAUUAUUCUGUAAUAAACUUUGUGGUUGAAUCUUCAAUUUUCCGGUACAAGUAUUUUCCAACUUUUUUGGACUUAAACAAGAUUUAGAAACAUAUUCUUCAUGUUCAACUCAAUCAUAUUAGCGCUGUCAAACAUUGAAUGUCAACAAUACAAGCAAAAUAGUUUGUGUAACCUCAUAUAUUUCUUAUUCAAG
rnacentral:lncRNA from 1 species